GAUGAACGCUAGCGAUAGGCUUAACACAUGCAAGUCGAGGGGCAGCGAGGGUAGCAAUACCUGUCGGCGACCGGCGCACGGGUGAGUAACGCGUAUGUAACCUGCCCGCAACAGGGGGAUAACCCGGCGAAAGUCGGACUAAUACCGCAUAAAACAGGGGUCCCGCAUGGGAAUAUUUGUUAAAGAUUUAUCGGUUGCGGAUGGGCAUGCGUACCAUUAGGUAGUUGGUGAGGUAACGGCUCACCAAGCCCUCGAUGGUUAGGGGUUCUGAGAGGAAGGUCCCCCACACGGGGACUGAGACACGGACCAGACUCCUACGGGAGGCAGCAGUGAGGAAUAUUGGUCAACGGGCGAGAGCCUGAACCAGCCAAGUCGCGUGAAGGAGGACUGCCCUAUGGGUUGUAAACUUCUUUUACAAGGGAAUAAAAUGAGAUACGUGUAUUUUAUUGCAUGUACCUUGGGAAUAAGCAUCGGCUAACUCCGUG
rnacentral:rRNA from 1 species